UGCCCUUAUUUAAUUUCCAGCGCGUUUGGGCUAUUUUUAACAGCUGGACCCCCUCCAUCCGAGCGCCCAUCUCCGGGAUCGCGCUGACGAUGGCAGCAGAGGGGCACUCCGACAAAAUGGCGUCCGACAUCGAAGUGCGUAUGAAGCAGUGGUGUGUGAUUGAAUUCCUGCAUGCGGAAAAAAUUGAACCCGUCGACAUUCAUCGACGGCUGCUGAACGUGUACGGAGACCAAACGGUGGAUGUGAGCACCGUGAGGCGGUGGGUGCCGCAGGGCGAU